GCGGAGGAAAAGAAACCAACAGGGAUUGCCCCAGUAACGGCGAGUGAAGCGGCAACAGCUCAAAUUUGAAAUCUGGUCCCCCCGCGGGGCCCGAGUUGUAAUUUGAAGAGGAUGCUUCUGGCAAGGUGCCGUCCGAGUUCCCUGGAACGGGACGCCGCAGAGGGUGAGAGCCCCGUACGGUCGGACGCCGAGCCUCUGUGAAGCUCCUUCGACGAGUCGAGUAGUUUGGGAAUGCUGCUCAAAAUGGGAGGUAAACCCCUUCUAAAGCUAAAUACCGGCCAGAGACCGAUAGCGCACAAGUAGAGUGAUCGAAAGAUGAAAAGCACUUUGAAAAGAGAGUUAAAAAGCACGUGAAAUUGUUGAAAGGGAAGCGCUUGCGACCAGACUCGCGCCCGUCGGAUCAGCCGUCGCUCGUCGGCGGCGCACUCCGGCGGGCUCGGGCCAGCAUCAGUUCGCCUCGGGGGGAGAAAGGCGGCGGGAAUGUGGCUCUACGGAGUGUUAUAGCCCGCCGCGUAAUACCCC
rnacentral:ncRNA from 2 species